GGCUCCUUGGUCAAGUGGUUAAGACACCGCCCUUUCACGGCGGUAACAGGAGUUCAAAUCUCCUAGGAGUCA
rfam:Eubacteriaceae bacterium CHKCI004 isolate CHKC4 genome assembly, contig: {contig53}